UCGCUCCUACCGAUUGAAUGAUCCGGUGAAGUCUUUGGACCGUUUCGCUUUGGUGGGCAACUGCCGAUUCGUUGCGGGAAGUUGAUUAAACCUUAUCAUUUAGAGGAAGGAG
rnacentral:rRNA from 1 species